rnacentral:ncRNA from 1 species
GUUAUAUUUGGAAUUGGCAAUAGCCAGUUCGGCAUAUUAAUUUGGAGAAAUGCAAAAAUGGCAUUAACCGCAGAAAGCAAAGCCGAAAUCGUUAAAGAAUUCGGCAGUUC